rnacentral:rRNA from 1 species
UACGUAGGGGGCAAGCGUUGCUCGGAAUCACUGGGCGUAAAGCGCACGUAGGCGGAUUGCUAAGUCAGGGGUGAAAUCCUGGAGCUCAACUCCAGAACUGCCUUUGAUACUGGCGAUCUUGAGUCCGGGAGAGGUGAGUGGAACUGCGAGUGUAGAGGUGAAAUUCGUAGAUAUUCGCAAGAACACCAGUGGCGAAGGCGGCUCACUGGCCCGGUACUGACGCUGAGGUGCGAAAGCGUGGGGAGCAAACAGG